GUAGAACAUGUUUAAGAACAUAGACUCAAGAUAAAGAGAGAUGUGAAGUAAUGGGUCAUCCUAGGUGUGGCGAUGGCACAGACUCAAAAGUGUAUCAGUUCACCUGUUAAACACAUCCAGGUACAUGGGGGCAUCUCUGGAAAGUUUAUAGAAGCAAGCACACUUUGGAGGAGUCCACAGAAGAAGAAAAGAUGGGAAAUCCACCAGCCUGACUCCCAAUUUCCACUGAUGGAAAUUCAUCUCUUGAAGAGCUCCUCACAGAUCUCUAGUGAUGGACUGCUGACUCUCCUGUGUUUUAACACUGUUCUAAACAGAAUCUGAUUUCAAGCCCUCCCCUGUAUGCUGAGUUUUCCCCUGUGGCACCCAGAGAUCCCAUGGAGCAAAGCCACAGGCCACAGAGCUGAGUCGAGAGAAGACACUGGCACUCAAGUCCAUUACUUUCAAUGAAGCCCCCUUUUGAUGAGAAAAGUAAUUCCAACUACAGGGAAAAUAUCUGAAGUGCAUUCAUACAAGGGAAGGGGGGCAGGGAGAGAUCCUCAGCACCUCUCAGCAUUAUAAGGUAGUGGCCGCCUCUCAUCAGUCCUGACAGCCUCAGGUUUCCUUCAUACUUGGUUGCCUGUCUCUGUGGUCUGUGGGCUUAGGCAGGAUUGCCUGAGAAUAUAGGAAAUGAGGAAAUUCUGACUCUGCCUUCAAGAAGCUUCUACCAUGGUUGAGGAAUGACAUAACCAAACAAAACAUUAUUGCCAGCCAGUUCCCUCUUUCGUAAAAGAGAGAAUGCUUUCCUCACGGGAGUGCUGAAGAAUAAAGUUCAGUUUAUUUCACUUCAAUUGAACUUAACAGACAUAACAAGCACUAAGCACAGCUCCUGACAGACAGGGCUCCAUAAAUAGCAGAAACAUGAAAGAGUUCCAUGGGGUUUCUACGGAAGGAGGGAAAGUUCUACGAAAAAUAGCAUAGAAGGUUGCACUGGAGCCAGGAAGGCAUGAAAGAGCCCAUUCCUGGGACACACAGACCCCCAGAAGCAUGACAAGUCCAAGGUGGCCGAGUGAUAGCACUGCCCUAAGAGCUCCCAGAGCCACAUCACCAGAGAGCCAGACCCCCUGGUCUGC